UAAAAAAAGCCUGAGAAAAAAAGAAAGUGGCGAUUUGCUGUUUUGGGAUCGCAAACGUUGUUCUGUGCCAAUGCGGCUUUAGCGAGAGAACUAGGGCACAGACAGUGUCGUCGACGUCGUCGUCAUCACACCUGGCUCUGCUUCUCUAUCUCCCGCUCUUCGUAAUUCGAUCCAUGCUUUGCUCUGAAAAGGUACGCAAUCCAAGUUUCGCUUGGUUUGUGUAGUAAUUCAGAGGCUAAACGGAUAUGUCUUCUGAUACUGGAAUGGAAAAUGCAUCUGUGGUUGAUUCAUCAGUGACAGAAUGGAAACAUGACGUAGAGAACUUGGAAGACCAAGAGAGCCCAAGCUAUAAAGGAGGUGAUGACACCUGUCCGUCUGGGGCAGAAGAACAUGUACAUAAUUGUGAUCAGGCAGAAAAUUCAAUUGCGAGUAAAAGAAAGAAAUUGUAUGGAACAAGAUAUUUCAUCAUCAAGAGUUUGAACCAUCAAAAUAUCGAAUUAUCGAUCAAGAAAGGCAUUUGGGCUACUCAAGUCAUGAAUGAACCCAUUCUAGAAGAAGCCUUUCAUAAUUCCAGUAAAGUAAUUCUAAUAUUUAGUGUCAACAUGAGUGGUUUCUUCCAAGGGUAUGCCCAAAUGUUGUCUUCUGUUGGGUGGAGACGAGAUAAUGUUUGGACUCAAGGAAGUGGCGGAAAAAAUCCUUGGGGCCGCAGUUUUAGGGUCAAAUGGCUUCGGUUAUAUGACUUGCCUUUCCAAAAGACCCUGCAUCUCAAGAAUCCUUGGAAUGACUAUAAACCUGUCAAGAUUAGCAGAGACUGCCAGGAGUUGCCUCAGGAUAUUGGAGAAGCUCUCUGUUCACUCCUUGAUGGGAAGGAUGAUACAAAUGCCAACCUGGAAAGGGAUGAUUUUGCUUCAAGAAGGCCUCCAAUGGAGACUCCAUGUCCUCUGCCAGAUGAGACAUGUAAUAUGCCCCCAUUGCAUAUGACAUGGGCUCAAACACCUAUGCUCUAUCCUUCCUUGUUCUAUCAACAUCAAGCUGAUGCCAGUAGAUUCCAUUUAGCACACUUGCCCAUCACUUCUGGGGCAUCAAAAGUUAUGCGCCCAAACCAUGCUGAGAGUACCGGAAGCCUCACUAGUGUACGAUUGGACCAGGAUAGUUUUUCUCAAUAUGAUGGUUUUGGUUGCUCUGCCGAAAGAAGCCCUCAUGCUAGUACCCUGACUGAGGAUGAUUUUCUUGAAAUGUCAUAUGAAGAGUAUGUCGAAGCCCAUAGCAGAAGGAAUAAACGAUCAUAUCACCAUACAGUUGGUGGACAGGAAUUGCCCUUGGAUGGAAUAAGGAGCUUAACAUUGAACACACGUGAAAUUAUCAGAUGGCUGGGAAGUUCAUCCGAUAUUGCGUUAUCAUUGAUCCUUUAGAGGACUUCACAAGGUCCAAACUUCCUUUUGCUCAACUUGUGGCUACUAGACCUUCCCAAAGAGCACGGGAGUCGCCUAAUAAAGAGCGUGGUGAUGAUCUAUGCUCUCGCAGCCAUUCAAGUAAGAGGACCCAACACUCGCACAAGUGACAGCAUUGCAAACCAAGAAGGCAAUUUCUUGCUAACCC